rnacentral:rRNA from 1 species
GAUGAACGCUGGCGGUAUGCUUAACACAUGCAAGUCGAACGGUGUCUUCGGACAUAGUGGCGGACGGGUGUGUAACGCGUGGGAAGCUAACGAUGGGUUCGGGACAACCACUGGAAACGGAGGAUAAUACCGGAUAAGCUGUAAAGUGAAAGAUUAAUUUCCACUUGAGGGGCCAGCAGCUGAUUAGCGAGUUGGUGGGGUAAGAGCCUACCAAGGCGUCGCACAGUAGCCUGGCUGAGAGGACGGGCCGCCACACUUGGACUGGGACGCAGCCCAGACUCCUACGCGAUGCAGCAGUGGGGGAUGUUCCGCAAUGGGCGAAAGCCUGACGGAGCAAUACCGCGAGAGGUAUGUAGGCUGGUGAGUUGUAAACCGCUUUUCUUUGUGAAGAUAAUGACGGUACCAGAGGAAUAAGCAACGGCUAACUCCGUG